UACGUAGGUGGCAAGCGUUGUCCGGAUUUAUUGGGUUUAAAGGGUGCGUAGGCGGUCUAUUAAGUCAGUUGUGAAAUCCGGCAGCUCAACUGUCGAGGUGCAAUUGAUACUGAUGGACUUGAGUACUGAUGAGGUAAGCGGAAUGGACGGUGUAGCGGUGAAAUGCUUAGAUAUCGUCCAGAACACCGAUAGCGAAGGCAGCUUACUAAGGAGUAACUGACGCUGAGGCACGAAAGUGUGGGGAUCAAACAGG
rnacentral:rRNA from 1 species